rnacentral:rRNA from 1 species
AACGAACGCUGGCGGCGCGCCUAAUACAUGCAAGUCGAGCGAGAAGACGUAGCAAUACGUUUGUAAAGCGGCGAACGGGUGAGGAAUACAUGGGUAACCUACCCUCGAGUGGGGAAUAACUAGCCGAAAGGUUAGCUAAUACCGCGUACGCUCCUUGGACUUCGGUUCAGGGAGGAAAGCGAUACCGCGGGUAUCGCGCUCUUGGAUGGGCUCAUGUCCUAUCAGCUUGUUGGUGAGGUAACGGCUCACCAAGGCUUCGACGGGUAGCUGGUCUGAGAGGACGAUCAGCCACACUGGCACUGCGACACGGGCCAGACUCCUACGGGAGGCAGCAGUAAGGAAUAUUGCGCAAUGGGCGAAAGCCUGACGCAGCGACGCCGCGUGGGGGAUGAAGGUCUUCGGGAUGUAAAGCCCUUUUCUCGGAGACGAUCAGGACGGUACCCGAGGAAUAAG